rnacentral:rRNA from 1 species
AUGGCCAGCUUGCUGGUCUGAUCAGUGGCGAACGGGUGAGUAACACGUGAGCAACCUACCCUUCACUCUGGGAUAAGCCCUGGAAACGGGGUCUAAUACCGGAUAUGAGACGCGCAUGCAUGUGCAGCGUCUGGAAAGAUUUAUCGGUGGGGGAUGGGCUCGCGGCCUAUCAGCUUGUUGGUGGGGUAGUGGCCUACCAAGGCGACGACGGGUAGCCGGCCUGAGAGGGCGACCGGCCACACUGGGACUGAGACACGGCCCAGACUCCUACGGGAGGCAGCAGUGGGGAAUAUUGCACAAUGGGCGCAAGCCUGAUGCAGCGACGCCGCGUGAGGGAUGACGGCCUUCGGGUUGUAAACCUCUUUCAGCAGGGAAGAAGCGCAAGUGACGGUACCUGCAGAAGAAGCGCCGGCUAACUACGUGCCAGCAGCCGCGGUAAUACGUAGGGCGCAAGCGUUGUCCGGAAUUAUUGGGCGUAAAGAGCUCGUAGGCGGUUUGUCGCGUCUGCUGUGAAAACCUAAGGCUCAACCUUGGGCUUGCAGUGGGUACGGGCAGACUAGAGUGCGGUAGGGGUGACUGGAAUUCCUGGUGUAGCGGUGGAAUGCGCAGAUAUCAGGAGGAACACCGAUGGCGAAGGCAGGUCACUGGGCCGCAACUGACGCUGAGGAGCGAAAGCAUGGGGAGCGAACAGGAUUAGAUACCCUGGUAGUCCAUGCCGUAAACGUUGGGCACUAGGUGUGGGGCUCAUUCCACGAGUUCCGUGCCGCAGCAAACGCAUUAAGUGCCCCGCCUGGGGAGUACGGCCGCAAGGCUAAAACUCAAAGAAAUUGACGGGGGCCCGCACAAGCGGCGGAGCAUGCGGAUUAAUUCGAUGCAACGCGAAGAACCUUACCAAGGCUUGACAUACACCGGAAACUUCCAGAGAUGGUUGCCCCGCAAGGUCGGUGUACAGGUGGUGCAUGGUUGUCGUCAGCUCGUGUCGUGAGAUGUUGGUUUAAGUCCCGCAACGAGCGCAACCCUCGUCCCAUGUUGCCAGCGGG